AAAAAAGAGAGAAAAGAAAGAAGGGAACAUUACUAAAAAGGGGAAAUAGAAAAGAAAACGAAAGAAGAAAAAAGGGUUCAUGAACAGUUUUCUCUGAAAAAUCCACUUUGAAAAGAAAUCUUUUCUUUUCUCCUGUUCAUCUCCUCCCCACACCUAUAGCCUUCUUCCAUCCACAACCUCAACACCACCCGUGAUUCUCACCAUAAAAACCUACACCCUCAUCUUCCUCACACAAACCCUCUUCUUCUUCAUCACACAUCUCAUCUUCUUCCUCAUCCGCCAUCACAAACCCUUCUGACUGCCUCUGUUUCCAACGCUCAACAACCACCACAACUCAAUUGGAAAACCAUCUAAACAACCUUCGUCCAUCACCGAACCACCUCCAUUAAAAGCCCUUCUGCGACCUCACUCCACCUCCACCGCUGCAACCCGCCGCGAGAACUCACAACAACACACCUCCAACUCAUUUCGUGGUUUCACUCCGACGAAUUACCGCCACCACGAAACACCCUCGCCGUUCUUCCAAAUGCACCGCAACCAACCACCUCUCUCUUCCACCAGCACCGCCGUUAUCUUUCGUGUCUUCCCGCAAAUUUCCAUACCUAUUUCCAAAUUGCUUCAGAGAAGAAGCUAUCGAAUCCAAUGAGAGAAAUCAAAGUACAGAAACUCGUUCUCAAUAUUUCCAUCGGUGAAAGUGGCGAUUGUUUAACCAGAGCCGCCAAGGUUCUUGAGCAACUUAGUGGCCAACCCCUAUUUUCUCCAAAGGUACUUUCUAACAUUUAAUUUUCAUAGUUUUUUAAAUGUUUUAUGAGUUUAAUUGUGAUACAUGAUUUUACACUGGAAGAAAAUCACAACCAACUAACCAUAUGUGUGGCUUUAUAAGCGGUUAUCAAUAAUGGCUAUUGUAAUUAAUGAUCUAACGGUUAUGAUUAUCAAAGACUAAUGUGGUUAACUAUCUAACUGUUAUGAUUGGUUGAAUGUAUGGUUUUUUAUGUUCUUAUCUGGUUUGUUAACGAAGGGGAUUAAUUGGUAAUUGAAGAGUGUGAAAAAAAUGAUAAUUCUGUAGCAAUGGUUGUUUAUGUUAUUAUUAUAGAUUAGUUUUUAGGUUUUAACCAAUGGCAUAAUUGAAAGGUUAUGUAAGCAUAUUUUGAGUUAGUUUUUAUUUCUCUAUUUGGGAAAGAAAGUUCUUUCAUGAUAUCUUAAUUUCUCUACUAGUACUAGAAGACAAAAAAAAAGAGGACCUAAGCAUAAUUUGGAGUUUUUUUUAAACUAAAAGUUCUCGUGUAAACUGAAAUUAGGUUCCACAUUUCUGUUUUUUUUAGAAUCUCAUUUAACUGUUCUAUAGACACUUAUAAGCUAAAACAAACCUUUUUAUAAGCAAAGAGCAUGGACCUGUUUUAUUUGACAAAUUCCCAUAUAGAAGAAAGUAUUAGAAACUACUUGGUACUCGGAUGCAGUAUCUUGAUACACAAUGUUACUAUUUUUAUUACCAAAAUAUUCUACUAUUAUCCAAUAUAUAUGGCUUGAAAAACCGUACUUUCGGUUUUUUGUUAAUGGUUACAGUGAAUUUUUGAUAAGUUGGUUUAUUGUGGCUUAAAAUAACGGAUUUCUGCCUUCUUUGAUUCCAAGAAUAUAAGCCCAAUUCCAAACCACUUUAAACCAUGAUAAAAAUCACAUAAUUCUUGAUUCAAUGCCGAGAUCAUUUUCCAUACCCUUGUAAGUCGAUUGCUUUUAGCAUCGCCAUCAACCUCACAUAACUUUCUCUUGGGCUUUCUUACAAUGAGACCUACUCGGUUAUUAAUUAAUCAAUUAGAUGAUUGAUACACUAGUUAUAAUUUAAUUAAUUAACAAACACAAACAUCAAACCCUCGAUCCAACAUUGAGUAUUUUUAUUCAAAAUUAAUUAAAACAUCUACUUACGAUUAAAUACCAUUUCAUUUAGAAAUGAAAACGGGGAUGGUUUUGAGCCUUUAAUUCCUCUCAUCGGUUGUUUGAAUACGAGUUCUCUUACUCGGUUAGUCAAACAAUUGUCAUUUCUAUCCGCCUAAACCUAAUUAAAUCAAAUCAUUUUCAUAAUAACGAAAUGAAAAGGGGGAUGGUUUUGAGCCUGCAACUCCUCUCCUCGAUUGUUUGAAUACGAGUUCCCUUACUCGGUUAGUUAGACAAUUGUCAUUUCUUUACCAACUUCUAAACCCGAUUAAAUCAAAACAUUUUCAUAAUAAAUUAAACAAAAAGGGAGAUGGUCUUGAAUCUUCGAUUCCUCUCCUCAAAUACUUGGAUAUGAGUUGCCUUACUCAGUCAUUCAAAGUAUUUGUCGUUUAUCUUAAAACUCAUCAACCAUACAUAAACUUAUUUCCAUAAUCACUCAGAUGAAAAAGAAAGUGGUCUAGAUCCUUCUAUUCCCUUUCCCGACUAUUAGGAGAUGAGUUUCCUUACUCGACUAUUCGAGUAUUUGUAAUCCAUUCAAAACACACUAUUAUCAAAUCCUUUCACAAUAAAGGAUGAAAAAGGAGAUGGUCUAGAGCCUUCGAUUCCUCUCCUCGACUAUUAGGAUAUGAGUUGCCUUACCCGACUAUCCGAGUAUUCGUCAUCCAUUCAAAACACAUUAACUAUUGUCAAAUCCUUUUAUAAUUAAGGAUGAAAAUGGAGAUGGUCUAGAGCCUUCGAUUCCUCUCCUCGACUAUUAGGAUACGAGGUUCCUUACUCGACCAUCCGAGUAUUCGUCAUCCAUUUAAAAUAUCUUAACUAUUAUUAAAUCCUUUUACAAUUAAGGAUGAAAUGGGAGAUGGUUUAGAGCCUUUGAUUCUUCUCCUUGACUAUUAGGAUACGAUUUGCCUUACUCGACUAUCCGAGUAAUCGUCAUCCAACAAAAUAUCUCAACACAUUAAUCAAAUCUAUCUUUUUCUCGCCCACAUGCGAUCGAAACCAACAAAACAUCAAACAUAUUAACUCAACUUAUCACCCCCGUGCGAUCAACUUUUUUUUCCAGAAAGAACACUAUUUAAUCCCUUCUGGCCACAAUAAACUAGUGCUUAAGCCUUCGUCGAGAGUAAACAAGCCAAGGUUUAGCCUUUAGAAUGCAAUAUAUGCAGUUGUUCACUAAAAGACACCAACCAACUGUAGUUCCCCGAACUACGAAUGCUCUGAUUUCCUUAUUGCACCAUAAGGAUACGUAGGCAGGAGAUUGCUAGAUCUUUGCGAGCACACUAAUAAAAAACCUCCCUUUUCCCCCUUUCUGGGGUUUCCAUCCAUCUCUAUUUUUAAUCCUUUAUUCACUUGAAGAAAACAAAUAAACAUUAACUAACAUUUAAAUCGCAAAUCAAACUAAAAGAUUCCUGUUGAGUACAACGGACAUGAGGGGUGCUAAUACCUUCCCCUUACGUAAUCGACUCCCGAACCUGAAUAUGGUUGUGACGACCAUUAUUCUAUUUUUCAAAGGUUUUAUCGAUAUUUUCCUAUUCCUUCAGUGGAAUAAAUAAAGUUCGGUGGUGACUCUGUUCGAACUAAUUUUUUUUCGUGACCAUCGCGAGGAAUCGUAUUUUUCGAGAUGCGACAGAUGGCGACUCUGCUGGGGAUAUUUCUGCUCCAAGCAAGAGAGAGUCAAGCCUAACUUAGUUCAAUUUUUGUUUUAAUUUUAACCUAGUUUGUUUGUUAUCUUUAUUUUGUUAUUAUUGUUCUUUUGUAAUUAUUUGUGUUGUGAUUUAUUGAUUGAUUCUUAUGUUGCUAUCGGGGUUCUUUGAUCGUUGUCACUUUGUGAGAUAGGCUCUCUACCCGAGCUUGAGGAAAACCAUAGGAUUAAGAUAGUGGUUGUGUAGUAGAGGCCCACAAGGAGCCUUCCUUGUUGGGACGAUACGAAGACCCCACCUAGAGUAGAUUCUCUUGAGAGAUUAUCGUCCGAUGAGCCUUUAUCAUGACGAUGGUAUUUUCAAGUUGGAACGAUGACUCUAGGGACCUUUUAACCCACUCUAUCUGGCGGUUAUGUAGUAUUAACCUAUGAAGUUUCAGAUUUAUUGGGUUAAUUCAAAAGCCCCAAUUAGAUGAGAUCCCUUGGACGUAUUACUAUCUUACAGUAAUAUUUCCAACCUCGAUCUAUGACUCUGAGAACCUUGUUAGAACCUUGGACUCGAGGGUUGCGUAGUAUAAUCCCCAAGGAGCCUUCCUUGUUGGGAAAAUACGAAGACCUUAACUAGACGAGAUUAUCCUGAGGGUAUUACUGUCCGAUGAGCCUUCGUCACGGCAGUAACGUUCUCAAGAAGGAUCCAUGACUUUAGGAACCUACCAACUGUAGAGCCUACCUAUGGGGUUCCGUUAAUUAGAGAUAACAAUUAUUUACCCAUUGUUCUGACCAACCUGUGAACUUAUUUAUUCAUGUGAUCCUGAACAUUGCAUCAUAUUUCAUGCAUGCAUAUCAUUUUCCAACACAAAAAAACUCAUCUCGUCCUUUUGCCCAUUACCAACAGGCUGAUUUCCCGACACUCAUACUAAACCCUUGAGAACUACUAAAAGACAAGGGAGCGCUGGGAACAUAAUCAAGUUGAGCUAAAAAUGGAUACGAACAACAUGAAAGGCAAGAUAGACCAGAUGUUGGAAGCUAGGCUAGCCCAGUCAAAGAAUAAUCUUCAACAUGGUGUCAUAGAGAAUGUUAGUUCCUCAUCAGGCUUUACCGUGAUUACCAACCCAAUGUAUGACCCUUUCCCCGAAUAUAAUCCUCCACAAGAGAACAUUCCUACUCAAUCCCAGUUGAUACCAUUGACCAAUCCUGAUGUUGAAAGGUUUCAUGCCCUGGAGGAGAAAGUCCGAGCAAUGGAGGUACAUGACAAUCUUAGGCUCGAUAUGUGCUUAGUGUCAGGCCUAGUGACCCCUUCGAAAUUCAAAAUACCCAAAUUUGAGAAAUACAAAUGGGAUAGUUUUCCAAGGCACCAUUUGGUGAUGUUCUUCUGAAAAAUGGCAUCACAUACUCACGAUGACAAGUUGAUGAUUCACUGUUUUCAAGACAAUUUGAUUAAAGCAUUUUUGAGCUGGUAUACAAAAUUAAAAAUAAGCCAUAUUCAGUCAUUGGAAGACUUAUCCAAUGCUUUUUUGAAGCAGUAUAACUAUAACUUGGACAUGGCUCCAAACCGAAGGCAUCUGCAAAGCUUAUCCCAAAAGAGCGGCGAAUCUUUCAAAAGAUAUGCACAACGAUGGAGAGAAUUGGCAGCCCAAGUGCAACCACCACUCUUGGAUAAGGAAUUGGUUGACUUGUUUAUGGAUACCUUGCAGAGUCCUUACUUUGAAAGGAUGGUAGGCAAUGCGUUACAACGAUGGAGAGAAUUGGCAGCCCAAGUGCAACCACCACUCUUGGAUAAGGAAUUGGUUGACUUGUUUAUGGAUACCUUGCAGAGUCCUUACUUUGAAAGGAUGGUAGGCAAUGCGUUAUCAGACUGUGCUCACUUAGUGAUAAUUGGAGAAUGCAUCGAGGGUGCCCUAAAAAGCGGAAGAAUCCAAUGCGCCUCCAGUAGCCAAGCUAGCGAGACAGAAUCCCUCAACAAUUCCUAAAAGGAAGAAGAGGAUGAAACCAAUUCAGUCAUAACAGAUGUUGGGUAUUCGCAUGGUGCACCAGUAAGACCUUAUGAUCCCUUAUCUUUUCAGCAGUCACCGGUUCCAACACCACGCCAUCCUUAUGGGAAAUCAACAACGCCUAGAGCACCAUUCAAGCAACAAUGGACUGCUCCUCAUACAAAUCAAAGAUCUUGUGGUCAAGGAUAUCAGAAUCAGCAUCUGAAGCAGCAUAUGCCUCAAAGCAAUCUGGAAAGGAGGAAUGCUCCUCUGAUCCAAUCCCUAUGUCAUACCGUCAACUUCUGCCAUAUCUAAUUCAAAGCUCGCUGGUGGAGCCUAAGUUUCUCAGGCCAUUUCCGGAACCAUACCCACCUGGGUAUGAUCCCAAUGAACAAUGUGGAUACCAUGUUUGAUCAAUAGGGCACUCAACUGAAGACUGCAACACUUUCAAAGCCAAGGUUCAACAGUUGCUUGACAAAAAGUAUAUAUCCUUUUCAGAAGGAAGCCUGUUAGUGCAUGUUAACCUCCCGUCAGAAUGAGUUCUAAGACUUUAAUAGAGCAUCUCCUAAUGCGAGUAGUUCUGACAGGAAGACAUCCUUAACACUGGCAACCAUUGGACUGAUUUGCCUUCAUUUUGCAUUUAGAAUUUUCUUGUUACUGAAUGCUACUUGUUUUUAAAUUUUGUUGUCUUUAAUGGUAAUAUUAAUGAAGUAAUGACGCAUGUUUUGAAUCAAUUAUCUCACAUUCGCUCAUUUUUCUUCUCUUAUAUCAAAAACAAAAAAUACACCCAUGUUCUCUAACUCACCUUCUUUAUCAAACUAUUACUUUAGCAAUAUUGGAGGGAGGAUGACGAAAAUAAGUAACUGCUGACUGUAUGCUUUCGAAUAAAAUCCUGCUGAUGAUAUACAGGCAUUGUUUCAAAUUCCCAAACACUGGAGAGAUAAGGAGUUAAUCUCUAGUCAACCACUUCGAGCCUAGAAGUAGGUGUCUCUUUCGGAUAUACAAACCCUUAUGUUUAACCCGGGGCAGGGUAGUGUUCAGUUAAUCUAAUUCCACAUUUGAAUUACAAGAGAAUACAUCCCAUUUUGAGAUCAACCACAUGAUGUUCUUUACACACAUCCUAAAGUGUCAAAGGAACCAUACAAAAUCCAAAAUUUAUGUCGGUUAUUCUUCAAUGGCUAAUGACUUGGCAGUCACAAUUUUUCAAAAAAUAACCCGCUAAUCGAACACUCGAUAAGGUGACUUAGGCAAAAAAAACGGGGGAAAUCUCGAUGGACUAAAAGCUUCAAAAGAAGUCCAGGAAAAAGUUAGGGAUCAAUAAAAUUAAAAGAAAAAGAGGUCACGAAAACCCUUAACAAAACAAAACAAGAUUUAGUGACCACCGUACCAAAAUCAAAGGGUCACCGACAUCCAAAAAUAAGGUGACUGCCAUUUUAAGAGACCUUGAAUCAUCAUCUUUAUUACACCUUCAAAACUCUCUUAAAAGACGAAUGUGUAUAUUGAAUUAGCUGAGCUUAGGACUGAAGUUUAUUAAGAAGAAAGGGUGGGUACAGAAAUUAAACUUUGAGCCUUAUAUCCUUUGUUUCAAAAACCAGGAACCAGACCACGUUACAACCCUUAAAAGACCUAAUUUAAGUAGGGUUAUUUAUGAAAGCAUACUACAACAAGGUUGCAUAAACUGACUCCCAAAGACUUGCUAAUCUUCUACAUCGAUAUCAUAUUUUUGUUGUAUGUUUUCACACACUAGCUAAAUCAGCAUUGCAUUUGGACUCAUGGUUCACUCGUCACACACUAUCACAUUAUUCCAAUAAAUUCUUCUUUUUUCAAAACUUGCAUGAGUAUCGCAUUAAAAUUACCAUUUUUGAACCAACAAUUUUAACUGCAACUCAAUACUUGACGUCAGGGAAAUUUCAACAAAGAGCAAUCAGAGAAACUUGAUCAUUUACCAGAAUCAAGACUACCUCGUAACCCAUGAAUAAGGGCCAUUCCACCCAAAACAUCAAGUUGAUCAUAGGAAGAUUACUCUAAGAAUUGGUCAGCCUGAAACAGUCUCCAAACAUCUAUUACUCAGGGGCAAGUCAUCUAAAGAAUCGGUUGUUCCAGAGAAAAUCAUCUCAGGACUAUAUUAACUGGGGAAGAUCUCCUAGAGGUUCUGUGACCAGGGGAAAUCCCUUUCAAUGUCCAGUCAGUGUGAGUUAAGUCGCUUCAAUGCUCGUACUGGAGCAAGCUACCUGAAGAUCACAAAAAAAUUAACCAAGGAUAAAUCCUUUCAUGACUUAAAAUUCUGGGGCAAGUUGUCUCCAAAUUAUGGGACAAUUGCUUUCAAAAGCCUUUCAAGGUAAACAUUUUGUAUAGACCCAUCACACUUGGGAAGGAUGAGCCAUAUAGGAGCAAGUCCUCUCCAUGCCUUCAAGUUGUUCAAGCAAAAAUUUCACACGUCAACAACAUCAGAGUUCAAGAUGAGUAUCGGGGAAUCAUAUUAUCACCCCAUAAAAUAACCUUUUGAUAGACAAGAAGCCUUUCUGCAAAUAACCUUCUCUUCCAAUACCCACGUAGGGGAAUUAUGGGAAACUUGUAAAUCAUUGCAUAAAUCAUCCUCAUACAUUAGUCAUAUCACUUUGCUCUAGCAUAAAGCCAUGUGUAUCAUAUCAUUCAUCGGGUCUAACCCCAUGAUAUUAACAUGACAUCAAAAAUCCUUGAAACACAAAAUCUGACACCAAAGCCCAACAUCGUUUGGCAAUUCAAAGUCCAAUUCUCGUUUGGCAGUUUAUUUCAAAGCCCAGUUCCCGUCUAGCAAACCUUUUCAAAGUCCAAUUCUAGUUUGGCAAUUCAAAGUCCAAUUCUCGUUUGGCAGUUUAUUUUAAAGCCCAGUUCUUGUAUGGCAAACCUUUUCAAAGUCCAAUUCUCGUUGGCAAUUUAUUUCAAAGUCCAGUUCUCGUUUGACAAUUUAUUUCAAAGUCCAGUUCCCGUCUGGAAAUUUAUUUCAAAGCCCAGUUCCUGUCUGGCAAACCUUUUCAAAGUCCAAUUCUCAUCUAGCAAUUUAUUUCAAAGUCCAGUUCCCGUCUGGCAAACCUUUUCAAAGUUCAGUUCUCGUCUGGAAAUUUAAUUCAAAGUCCAGUUCCCGCCUGAUAAUCUAUUUCAAAGUCCAAUUCCCGUCUAGAAAUUUAUUUCAAAGUCCAUGUUCUCGUCUGGCAAUUUAUUUCCAAAGUCCAGUUCUUGUCUGGCGAACUAUUUCAAAAAUCAACUCUUGUACGAUAAAUCAUUUACCAAAUACCAGUUAUCAUCUGGUAAAUUAUCUCUUAACACCAAUUCUCGUCUAGUAGGUCACCUAUUUCGAUACCAGUUCUCGUCUGGUGGCCUACUUUAAAAGUCAGUUCCCGUCUGACAAACAAAAACAAAGUCAGUCCCGUCUGACAUUUCAAUCAUUUUCACUUGUUCUAGUCUGGUAACAUAUCCUUCAAGUUUUGUUCUCAUCUGGCAGUUCAAUCUUUUUCACCAGUUCUCAUCCGGCAGUUCCCAUUUAAAGUCCAAUCUCAUUGGCAAUCAAGAAUAAAACCCUACAAAAACCCAAUUACCCCUUUGAGUUCCCGCAUGCAUCAUAUGAAUCAUCCAUAAAUGGUUUUCCUACCAAACAGGAAAAUUUAAAAAACACAGUCAUAUCAAUCAUCAUCACAUAUAUGCAUAGCCUUAUACAAAAUCAAAAAUCACUUGUGUUCCUACAUGUACAUCCUAAAUAUCCUCAGCAAUUGCUUACUUGCAUACAUCUCAUGCAUCAUUACGCGCACAUGUGCUUCCAUCCAAAAUGGGGCAUCAUACAAAAAGACAUAACAAAUAUCAGGAUCCAGGGUCAUUCAUAUGUAUCUUGGACUUUCCUGAUUUAGUUCGACGAAGUUAUUACCCUACAUAUGCUCAUGGAAUUAUUUCCCAACAAGUCAUUCUUCAAGUUUUGUGGUUAAUAACAAUAUUCCCCAACAUCUUUGCUAUCAUUGCUCCCAAAGCAGAGGUUACCCUAAAAAGUAUUUUAUGAGUUUUUCCCUUGCAAAGCAUUUCUAGUAAAUCUUCUUUAAAAGGAGUCUUUUCAAAAUUAUUUCCCCCAACAAACGAACAUUUGAGAUACUGCUUCAUUUAUCUAAAGAAUCCCAUUUCUCUGUUUGAGAUACUGCUUCAUUUAUCUGAAGAAUCUCAUUUCUCUAUUUGAGAUACUGCUUCAUUUAUCUGAAGAAUAUCAUUUCUCUGUUUGAGAUAUUGCUUCAUUUAUCUGAAGAAUCUCAUUUCUCUAUUUGAGAUAAUGCUUCAUUUAUCUGAAGAAUCUCAUUUCUCUGUUUGAGAUACUGCUUCGUUUAUCUGAAGAAUCUCAUUUCUCUGUUUGAGAUACUACUUCAUUUAUCUGAAGAAUCUCAUUUCUCUGUUUGAGAUACUGCUUCAUUUAUCUAAAGAAUCUCAUUUCUCUGUUUGAGAUACUGCUUCAUUUAUCUGUUUGAGAUACUGCUUCAUUUAUAUGAAGAAUCUCAUUCCUCAGUUUGAGAUAUUGCUUCAUUGAUAUGAGGAAUCUCAUUUGUUUUUAGGUACUGCUCUAGUAUCCUCGGAGAAUCUUAGAUACGAUUGAGGUAUCAUUCCCUUGAUGGAAUACCUCAGUUAUAUCAUAUAAGAUACUGCUUCAUUGAUCCCCAGAGAAUCUUGUGUGUUCAAAUUAAAACAAUGUUCUACUAAUUUUCAGAAAGUCUUAGAUACAGUUGAGGUAUCAUUCCAUGGUUGGAAUAUCUCGAUCAUGGCAUCCAAGAUAUUGUUCUGAUAAUUCCCAGAGAGUCUGGAUUGUUUCAUUUUACCUUCUAAUAAACUUCUCUUACCGUAUUUCUGACUGCAUUUUCUUUCUGCAUUUCUUCCUUGCAUUUCAAAGGACAAAAUUCGGGUCUUUUUAUAUUUAAUUAUCUUCCACCACGAAUGUACGAAGACUGCUUUCAUUUUUACCUUUUGGUUCAAGGUAAUUAAAUAGGGGCAGUUGUCAUACCCCAAUUUUGUCCGGGCAUUUUAAAAUUUUCAUAAAUUCGACUUUAAUUUCAGUUUGCAUCAUAUGUACAACAUAAUAUGCAAUUCAUCAUGAAUAAUACCUAAAAUAUCAGUCGGAUUAAAUUCUUGAAUAUACAAACAAAUUGGUUGAAUCAUUCCUCAAGUACGUGCAAAAUCAGCGGGUAAAAAGUUUUGAAAUCAAGCUUGCAGACGUCAGUAUUAUUAAUCUACGGUUCAUGUAGUUUAACCUGGUGUGCUCAUUAUAUUUUUCGAUGACUUUUUCAGUUGCAUUUUGAUCCGUUUGAACCUUUUAACCGGUCAAAAUUUAUUUCAGAAUUAAAAGAAAUGUUGUAUUUUUUCAAUAAGUUCAUUUCGUGCUGAUCAUUUUAGUGCAUCCGAUUUAAUUUUUCGAGUAAAUUUUCUCCCGACUUUUAUUCAUUCUUAGUUAUUUUAUUUUUAUUCUUUUGUUAAAAUACUCGGGAUUAUAAAAUAGAAUUUCCCAUGUCUUUAUUUUAUUUUUAUCGUAUUUGUUUUAGAAGUUGUAAAUUUUAUUUAAUUUGAUUGAUUUAAUUCUAUGCAAAUCGAUUAAAUCAUCUAGAAGGGGAAACUUUGUCAUUUUUAAUUAAGUGGUCUUCUUUGAUUUAAUCCAGAUCGUCGAGUCGAAUUUGAUCAAAGGCCCACAUGCAUUAUCCACACUCAUUUUCAUUAUCUAAUCAAAAUUAAGCUUUAAAUAAUAAUAAUUAUUAAAUAAAAAUCUUAAAAUAUAAAUAUAUUAUUCCUUCUUAUCACUUAGUGACAUGUGUCACAAGAGACAAAAGAAGAGUGAUUUUCGGUGAUCCAAACAGAACACUCCCCUCCACUCUAACGUCUCUCUUCCAACGGACAAAAGGAGGGGACCACCAAGGAAAAGGUGGCUUUUCCACUAACCCAAUGGAUAAAAGAAACAGAAAAAAAUAGAAAGAAAGAAGGGAACAUUACUAAAAAAGGGAAAUAGAAAAGAAAACGAAAGAAGAAAAAAGGAUUCAUGAAUAGUUUUCUCUGAAAAAUCCAUUUUGAAAAGAAAUCUUUUCUUUUCUCCUGUUCAUCGCCUCCCCACACCUUUAACCUUCUUCCAUCCACGACCUCAACACCACCCGUGAUUCGCACUACAAAAACCCACACCCUCAUCUUCCUCACGUAGACCCUUUUCUUCUUCAUCACACAUCUAUUCUCCUUCCUCAUCCGCCUUCGCAAACCCUUCCGACCACCUCCGUUUCCAAUGCUCAACAACCACCGCAACUCAAUCGGAAAACCAUCUAAACGACCUUCGUCCAUCACCGGACCACCUCCAUCAAAAUCCCUUCCGCGACCUCACUCCACCUCCAUCGCCACAACCCGCCGCGAGAACUCACAACAACACACCUCUGACUCAUUUUGUGGUUUCACUCCAAAGAAAUAUCGCCACCACCAAACACCCCCCC
rnacentral:lncRNA from 1 species